rfam:Paramecium tetraurelia chromosome undetermined scaffold_37, whole genome shotgun sequence.
GCACACAUGCCCGAGUGGUCUAAGGGGCCGCACUCAAGAUGCGGUGAGUCAUUCUCGCGUGAGUUCAAAUCUCACUGUGUGCA